GGCGAUGAUCUAGCAGCGCGAUCGCUCUUGUGCAGCAGCGCGGUAAACGGUGGGGCAAGCGUUAAUCGGAAUUACUGGGCGAAAGAGGCGUAGAAGGAGGCUAAUUAAGUCAGAUGUGAAAUCCCUAAGCUUAACUUAGGAACUGCAUUUGAAACUGAUUAGCUAGAGUUUUGUAGAGGGGGGUAGAAUUCCAGGUGUAGCGGUGAAAUGCGUAGAGAUCUGGAGGAAUACCAGUGGCGAAGGCGACCCCCUGGACAAAGACUGACACUCAUGUACGAAAGCGUGGGGAGCAAACAGGAUUAGAUACCCUGGUAGUCCAUGCUGUAAACAAUGUCAAUUUGAAGGUUGUAGCCUUGAGUUAUAGCUUUCGUAGCUAACGCGUUAAAUUGACUGCCUGGGGAGUACGGCCGCAAGAUAAAACUCAAAUGCAUUGACGGCCGCCCGCACAAUCGCUGGAGCAUGUGGGUUAAUUCGAACGCAACGCGACAAAGCUUUACCUAGUCCUUGGCAUCCGAAGAAUAAAACAGAAAUGUUUUAGUGCCUUAGCGGCACUUUGAGACAGGGGCUUGCAUGGUUAUCGUCAGCCCGUGUU
rnacentral:rRNA from 1 species